ACUCAAUAGAUACCCUGGUAGUCCACGCCCUAAACGAUGUCAACUAGUUGUUGGGGAUUCAUUUCCUUAGUAAACGUAGCUAAACGCGUGAAGUUGACCGCCUGGGGAGUACGGUCGCAAGAUUAAAACUCAAAGGAAUUGACGGGGACCCGCACAAGCGGUGGAUGAUGUGGAUUAAUUCGAUGCAACGCGAAAAACCUUACCUACCCUUGACAUGGUCGGAAUCCUGCUGAGAGGCGGGAGUGCUCGAAAGAGAACCGGCGCACAGGUGCUGCAUGGCUGUCGUCAGCUCGUGUCGUGAGAUGUUGGGUUAAGUCCCGCAACGAGCGCAACCCUUGUCCUUAGUUGCUACGCAAGAGCACUCUAAGGAGACUGCCGGUGACAAGCCGGAGGAAGGUGGGGAUGACGUCAAGUCCUCAUGGCCCUUAUGGGUAGGGCUUCACACGUCAUACAAUGGUCGGAACAGAGGGUUGCCAAGCCGCGAGUGGAGCCAAUCCCAGAAAACCGAUCGUAGUCCGGAUCGCAGUCUGCAACUC
rnacentral:rRNA from 1 species